AUUGAACGUUGGCGGCACGCCUUAUACAUGCAAGUCGAACGAACCUUCGGGUUAGUGGCGGACGGGUGAGUAACGCGUGGGAAUCUGCCCUCAGGAGGGGGAUAACGGCUGGAAACGGCCGCUAAUACCCCAUAUGCCGAGAGGUGAAACGAAUUUCGCCUGAGGAUGAGCCCGCGUCUGAUCAGCUAGUUGGUGAGGUAAGAGCUCACCAAGGCAUCGAUCAGUAGCUGGUCUGAGAGGAUGAUCAGCCACACUGGGACUGAGACACGGCCCAGACUCCUACGGGAGGCAGCAGUGGGGAAUUUUCCGCAAUGGGCGAAAGCCUGACGGAGCAACGCCGCGUGAGGGAUGAAGGCCUCUGGGCUGUAAACCUCUUUUCUCAAGGAAGAAGAUCUGACGGUACUUGAGGAAUAAGCCACGGCUAAUUCCGUG
rnacentral:rRNA from 1 species